GUGAACGCUGGCGGCAUGCUUUACACAUGCAAGUCGAACGGUAACAGGCCUUCGGGUGCUGACGAGUGGCGAACGGGUGAGUAAUGCAUCGGAACGUACCCAGAGGUGGGGGAUAACGCAGCGAAAGCUGUGCUAAUACCGCAUGUGAUCUGAGGAUGAAAGCGGGGGACCGAGCAGCAAUGUUUGGCCUCGCGCCUUUGGAGCGGCCGAUGUCGGAUUAGCUAGUUGGUGGGGUAAAGGCCUACCAAGGGGCCGAUCCGUAGCUGGUCUGCGAGGGCGACGAGCCAGGCUGGGACUGAGAUACGGCCCUGACUCGGGCGGGAGGGAGCAGUGGGGAAUCUUGGACCAGGGGGGGAGGCAGGCUCGAGCAAUGGCGCGUGCGGGAAGAAGGCCUGCGGGUAGUGAAGCGCUUCUGGCAGGAAGGAACCGGUGUCCGAGAAGAGCGUGCGCUAUUGACGGGACAGGAAAGAGAGGCACUGGAGAAUGAGGUG
rnacentral:rRNA from 1 species